rnacentral:rRNA from 2 species
AAAUUGAAGAGUUUGAUCAUGGCUCAGAUUGAACGCUGGCGGCAGGCCUAACACAUGCAAGUCGAACGGUAACAGGAAACAGCUUGCUGUUUCGCUGACGAGUGGCGGACGGGUGAGUAAUGUCUGGGAAACUGCCUGAUGGAGGGGGAUAACUACUGGAAACGGUAGCUAAUACCGCAUAAUGUCGCAAGACUAAAGAGGGGGACCUUCGGGCCUCUUGCCAUCGGAUGUGCCCAGAUGGGAUUAGCUAG